AGUUUGAUCCUGGCUCAGAUUGAACGCUGGCGGCGUGCCUAACACAUGCAAGUCGAGCGGUAACAGGCGUAGCAAUACGUGCUGACGAGCGGCGAACGGGUGAGUAAUGCUUCGGAAUCUGCCCAGUAGUGGGGAAUAACCAUCCGAAAGGAUGGCUAAUACCGCAUACGUCCUAUGGGAGAAAGCGGGGGAUCGUAAGACCUCGCGCUAUUGGAUGAGCCGAAGCCGGAUUAGCUAGUUGGUAGGGUAACGGCCUACCAAGGCGACGAUCCGUAGCUGGUCUGAGAGGACGACCAGCCACACUGGGACUGAGACACGGCCCAGACUCCUACGGGAGGCAGCAGUGGGGAAUAUUGGACAAUGGGGGAAACCCUGAUCCAGCGACGCCGCGUGUGUGAAGAAGGCCUGCGGGUUGUAAAGCACUUUUAGUGGGGAUGAAAAGCCUUGGGAUAACACCCCAGGGUCUUGACCUAACCCACAGAAAAAGCACCGGCUAACUCUGUGCCAGCAGCCGCGGUAAUACAGAGGGUGCGAGCGUUAAUCGGAAUUACUGGGCGUAAAGCGUGCGUAGACGGUCGUGUAAGUCGGGUGUGAAAGCCCCGGGCUCAACCUGGGAAUUGCAUUCGAGACUGCAUGGCUAGGGUGCGGAAGAGGGAAGCGGAAUUUCCGGUGUAGCGGUGAAAUGCGUAGAUAUCGGAAGGAACACCAGUGGCGAAAGCGGCUUCCUGGUCCGACACCGACGUUCAGGCACGAAAGCGUGGGGAGCAAACAGGAUUAGAUACCCUGGUAGUCCACGCCAUAAACGAUGAGAACUAGACGUUGAGGGGGUAAGCCUCUCAGUGUCGUAGCUAACGCGCUAAGUUCUCCGCCUGGGGAGUACGGCCGCAAGGCUGAAACUCAAAGGAAUUGACGG
rnacentral:rRNA from 1 species